CCUACGGGUGGCUGCAGUGGGGAAUAUUGGACAAUGGGGGGAACCCUGAUCCAGCCAUGCCGCGUGUGUGAAGAAGGCCCUCGGGUUGUAAAGCACUUUCAGUGAGGAAGAACGCCUGGUGGUUAAUACCCAUCAGGAAAGACAUCACUCACAGAAGAAGCACCGGCUAACUCCGUGCCAGCAGCCGCGGUAAUACGGAGGGUGCGAGCGUUAAUCGGAAUUACUGGGCGUAAAGCGCGCGUAGGUGGCUUGAUAAGCCGGUUGUGAAAGCCCCGGGCUCAACCUGGGAACGGCAUCCGGAACUGUCAAGCUAGAGUGCCGGAGAGGAAGGUAGAAUUCCCGGUGUAGCGGUGAAAUGCGUAGAGAUCGGGAGGAAUACCAGUGGCGAAGGCGGCCUUCUGGACUGACACUGACACUGAGGUGCGAAAGCGUGGGUAGCAAACAGGAUUAGAUACCCUGGUAGUC
rnacentral:rRNA from 1 species